UUCUUUCAUGGGGAGACAAAUUUGGGUGCCACCCAAGUAUUAGCUAACCCACCAACAAUUGUCAUGUAUAUCGUGCAUUACUGCUAGCCACCAUGAAUAAUAUACA
rfam:Gorilla gorilla gorilla nuclear copy of mitochondrial hypervariable region 1, haplotype Rok11